rnacentral:rRNA from 1 species
UACGUAGGGACCAAGCGUUGUUCGGAUUUACUGGGCGUAAAGGGCGCGUAGGCGGCAUGACAAGUCACUUGUGAAAUCUCCGGGCUUAACUCGGAACGGCCAAGUGAUACUGUGCGACUAGAGUGCAGAAGGGGCAACUGGAAUUCUCGGUGUAGCGGUGAAAUGCGUAGAUAUCGAGAGGAACACCUGCGGCGAAGGCGGGUUGCUGGGCUGACACUGACGCUGAGGCGCGAAGGCGUGGGGAGCGAACGGG